GUUAGGGUUAGGGUUAGGGUUAGGGUUAGGGUUAGGGUUAGGGUUAGGGUUAGGGUUAGGGUUAGGGUUAGGGUUAGGGUUAGGGUUAGGGUUAGGCAACGGGUUAGGCAACGGGUUAGGGUUAGGGUUAGGGUUAGGGUUAGGGUUAGGCAACGGGUUAGGCAACGGGUUAGGCAACGGGUUAGGCAACGGGUUAGGCAACGGGUUAGGCAACGGGUUAGGCAACGGGUUAGGGUUAGGGUUAGGGUUAGGGUUAGGGUUAGGGUUAGGGUUAGGGUUAGGGUUAGGGUUAGGGUUAGGGUUAGGGUUAGGGUUAGGGUUAGGGUUAGGGUUAGGGUUAGGGUUAGGGUUAGGGUUAGGGUUAGGGUUAGGGUUAGGGUUAGGGUUAGGGUUAGGGUUAGGGUUAGGGUUAGGGUUAGGGUUAGGGUAAGGGUUAGGGUUAGGGUUAGGGUUAGGGUUAGGGUUAGGGUUAGGGUUAGGGUUAGGGUUAGGGUUAGGGGUAGGGUUAGGGUAGGGGUUAGGGUUAGGGUUAGGGUUAGGGUUAGGGUUAGGGUUAGGGUUAGGGUUAGGGUUAGGGUUAGGGUUAGGGUUAGGGUUAGGGUUAGGGUUAGG
rnacentral:lncRNA from 1 species